GCCUCGUGGAUUAGUGGAAAUCACCUCAAUACUGUUUUGUGAGUGACUACGCCUUUUCUGAGGAGUCGUGGGUUCGAAUCCCAUCGGAGGCA